rnacentral:rRNA from 1 species
GGCUUAGAGUUUGAUCCUGGCUCAGGAUGAACGCUAGCGGAAUGCUUAACACAUGCAAGUCGAACGGACAUUGUUUUGUAGUAAUACAAGAUUAUGUUAGUGGCAAACGGGCGAGUAACACGUACUUAAUCUGCCUUUGAGCUGAGAACAACCAUAGAGAUAUGGCUAAUUCUCAAUAUUCUCAUCAAAAUGAAAAUAUGAUGAGGAAAGAUUUAUCACUCAAAGAGGAGGGUGCGGCCUAUCAGGUAGUUGGUAAGGGUAAUGGCCUACCAAGCCUAUGACGGGUAGCCGGUCUGAGAGGAUGUCCGGCCGCAAUGGAACUGAGAUACGGUCCAUACUUCUACGGAAGGCAGCAGUGGGGAAUAUUGGACAAUGGGCGAAAGCCUGAUCCAGCAAUUCCGCGUGGAGGAUUAAGCCCUAAGGGGUGUAAACUUCUUUUUUGGUGGAAGACGAAUGACGGUACACCAAGAAUAAGGGACGGCUAACUUCGUGCCAGCAGCCGCGGUAAUACGAAGGUCCCAAGCGUUAUCCGGAUUUACUGGGCGUAAAGCGUCUGUAGCCUGAUAAAUAAGUCUGUUUUUAAAAGUCCCAGCUCAACUGGGAAGCAGGAAUAGAUACUAUUUGACUAGAGGUUAUUGGAGGUUAGUGGAAUUUCCGGUGGAGCGGUGAAAUGUGUUGAUAUCGGAAAGAAUGCCAAAAGCGAAAGCAGCUAACUACAAUAAACCUGACGGUGAGAGACGAAAGUUUGGGUAGCAAACAGGAUUAGAUACCCUGGUAGUCCAAACCGUAAAUUAUGUCCGCUAGAUGUCUUGCCGAUUCGUCGGUGGGGUGUCGUAAGUUAACACGUUAAGCGGAUCGCCUGGGUAGUAUACUCGCAAGAGUGAAACUCAAAGGGAUAGGCGGGGGAACACACAAGCAGUGGAUUGUCUAGAUUAAUUGGAUAACAAGCCAAGAAUCUUACCUAGACUUGACAUAUGAUGUGUCUCAUGUGAAAGCAUGAUAGUCCGAGCAAUCGGAUGCGUUAUACAGGUGGUGCAUGGUCGUCGUCAGCUCGUGCCGCAAGGUGUCUAGUUAAGUCUAGUAACGAGCGCAACCCAUGUCAUGUGUUGUAUUUUCACAUGAGACUGCCGAUUCAAAGUCGGAGGAAGGUAUGGAUGACGUCAAAUCAGCAUGGCCCUUAUGUCCAGGGCUGCACAGGUGCUACAAUGGUCGGUACAACGGGGAGCAAUAUCGUAAGAUGGAGCCAAUCCUAAAAGCCGAUCUAAGUUCGGAUUGAGGGCUGCAACCUGCCCUCAUGAAGUUGGAAUUGCUAGUAAACGUGCAUCAGCAAUGGCGCGUUGAAUAUGUUCCUGGGUCUUGUACUCACCGCCCGUCACACUAUGGAAGGUGGGAGCAUCCGAAGUACUCUUAGCUUUUAGCGGGGUCCUAAGGUGAAACCACUGACUGGAGUGAAGUCGUAACAAGGUAACCAAGC